rnacentral:rRNA from 1 species
UACGGAGGGUGCGAGCGUUGUCCGGAAUCACUGGGCGUAAAGGGCGCGUAGGCGGCCUGAUAAGUAGGGGGUGAAAUCCUGCGGCUUAACCGCAGGGCUGCCUUCUAAACUGUCAGGCUUGAGCACAGUAGAGGCAGGUGGAAUUCCCGGUGUAGCGGUGGAAUGCGUAGAGAUCGGGAGGAAGACCGGUGGCGAAGGCGGUCUGCUGGGCAGUUUCUGACACUGAGGCGCGACAGCGUGGGGAGCAAACAGG